UAGGGAAUAUUGCAAAAUGGGCGAAAGCCCGAUGCAGCAACGCCGCGUGGGCGAUGAAGGCCCUCGGGUCGUAAAGCCCUUUUUGAGGGGAUGAGGAAGGACAGUACCCUCAGAAUAAGCCCCGGCUAACUACGUGCCAGCAGCCGCGGUAAAACGUAGGCGGCGAGCGUUAUCCGGAUUUACUGGGCGUAAAGCGCGUGCAGGCGGAUUGGAGAGUUGGAUGUGAAAGCUCCCGGCUUAACUGGGAGAGGUCGUUCAAUACUUCCAGUCUUGAGUGCAGUAGAGGGAAGUGGAAUUCCGGGUGGAGUGGUGAAAUGCGUAGAUAUCCGGAGGAACACCAGUGGCGAAAGCGGCUUCCUGGACUGUAACUGACGCUCAGACGCGAAAGCUAGG
rnacentral:rRNA from 1 species